AUAUUCUAAAGCAACUUUAUUAACAUGACACAGAAGAUAUGUGCUCAAGAUUGUUGAAUUUCUCGAAAUUUAGAUAAUCUAACUAAAUAAUUUUGAUAAAAUAACUCGAAAAUUAAAAAUCUAACAUGUUGGUGAAAAUGAUCAAUCAAAGCAGGUGUCCAGUAUCGUAUCGAUCCAAAAGAGAACGGUGUAAAAGUUCAAAUUUUUUUAAGAGUAAUUGUAGCAAAAGUAUAUUUUAAACAAUACUUAAAUUUUGAUGAAAAACACUCUAUUUUAUUUACCCUUGUAGCUUGACCGUGGUUACCUU
rnacentral:lncRNA from 1 species